AACCUUGUUUAGAUAUGGAAGUCGAUAUCAUCAAAGGCGCAACAGGGGCGGAAUAAAUGCUCGCCAUCGUACUUCGUCAGAGAACAUAAGCUUCGUAAUUUCUUCACAAUCAAUGCCUCCGUCUAACUGGACAAUCAGCAGUGUUGGCAAGAAAAGGAGAACGAAAGAGAAUAUGAGAGCAGAGAAAAGGAAUUCUGACAAUAAUCUGCCGAUACACCGACGACAAUUUGCUCUAAAAUGGUUGGUGGAAAAGAUGGAGAUAUUGUGC
rnacentral:lncRNA from 1 species